CCUACGGGAGGCUGCAGUGAGGAAUAUUGGUCAAUGGCCGUAAGCCUGAACCAGCCAAGUCGCGUGAGGGAUGAAGGUUCUAUGGAUUGUAAACCUCUUUUAUCAGGGAAUAAAGUGCGGGACGUGUCCCGUUUUGUAAGUACCUUAUGAAUAAGGAUCGGCUAACUCCGUGCCAGCAGCCGCGGUAAUACGGAGGAUCCGAGCGUUAUCCGGAUUUAUUGGGUUUAAAGGGUGCGUAGGCGGCCUUUUAAGUCAGCGGUGAAAGUCUGUGGCUCAACCAUAGAAUUGCCGUUGAACCGGGGAGGCUUGAGGAUGUUUGAGGCAGGCGGAAUGCGUGGUGUAGCGGUGAAAUGCUUAGAUAUCACGCAGAACCCCGAUUGCGAAGGCAGCCUGCCAAGCCAUGACUGACGCUGAUGCACGAAAGCGUGGGGAUCAAACAGGAUUAGAUACCCCUGUAGUC
rnacentral:rRNA from 1 species